rnacentral:tRNA from 1 species
GGGCGCAUAGCUCAGUCCGGUAGAGCAGCUCCCUUUUAAGGAGACGGUCGGGGGUUCGAGUCCCUCUGCGCCCA